rnacentral:rRNA from 1 species
UACGUAGGGUGCAAGCGUUGUCCGGAAUUAUUGGGCGUAAAGAGCUCGUAGGCGGUCUGUCGCGUCGGCUGUGAAAACCUGGGGCUUAACUCUGGGCGUGCGGUCGAUACGGGCAUCACUAGAGUUCGGCAGGGGAGACUGGAAUUCCUGGUGUAGCGGUGAAAUGCGCAGAUAUCAGGAGGAACACCGGUGGCGAAGGCGAGUCUCUGGGCCGAUACUGACGCUGAGGAGCGAAAGCAUGGGUAGCGAACAGG